UCCUUCCUUUGACUUUCACUGCAGCAAUCUCAAGCUUAGGCCACCCUAACUUGAUCUUGAGGGGGGAUGAUAGUGAGAAUAGCACAUGCCUGUUAGUUAAGAGUUUAGUAUAGUGUGCCAAGUGUAAGAUUGUUAUUGGUUGUUAUCCUAAUCUAGUGGUUAGGCUGUUAUAAAGUAAAAGCACUGUACGCUCUUUCUCAUUAAGGAAAAUAUACACAGCUCUUUUCUAUAUUCUCUCUCUUUUCUCUUCUUCUUCUUCAACUGUUAUCACCGCCGACAUAUUAAGUCGAUUAUUUCCAGGGAAGUAUAGCACUCCAAAAGCUAUAUGAAGUUGAGUUUUAGCUCAAGCCCCAUGGCUCAGUUUCAUGCAGAAACCUUAAAUCUGCAUCUAGCCCAAGAUCAAACGGUUCUUGUAAAGGCAUAUCAAAUCCGUUGAUAGUUGUUGCUUUACUAAAAAGCAAGUCUCCACUAGAGACAGCUCUAAUACCACUACUGCUAAAGCAUGUGGGUGUUUGUAAUCUCCACCGCUACUUUAGUAAAGAGAUCUGUUCUUCACCGAACAAGAUAAGGAUGGUACAGAGAAAAGAUGCAAAGAUGCAAUCAGACCACUACUACAGCGAAUGGACGAGAUCUGGGUCAAUUAUGGUGGGAAGAGAGAUGUUGUGGAUGUGAAUCACUUCUGCCAAUGCCAACCAUGAUAUCGUGAUGAAUAGUUUGUACUUUGCGUGGGGUUGGUGCUAAACUGUAAUAUUCGGGGUUGGGGUACCCUCCCUCUUGCAUACAAUUCUCUCACCCAAUCAAUCAGCACCACCUCAUCCUCUGCAGCCUCCAUCUCAAUAGGCUUUCUUCCGCAAGC